rnacentral:tRNA from 1 species
GUGAGCGUAGCUCAAAUAGGUUAGAGCAUCAGAUUGUGGUUCUGAGGGUUGCUGGUUCAAGUCCAGUCGUUCACC